rnacentral:rRNA from 1 species
UGGCGGCGCGCUUAACACAUGCAAGUCGAGCGCUCUGUAGCAAUACAGGGAGCGGCGAACGGGUGCGUAACACGUGGAUAAUCUGCCUCGAGGUCCGGGAUAACCAGCCGAAAGGUUGGCUAAUACCGGGUAAGCUUACAGGCUCUUCGGAGCCGGUGAGAAAAGGAGCAAUCCGCCACGAGAUGAGUCCGCGGCCCAUCAGCUAGUUGGCGGGGUAACGGCCCACCAAGGCAACGACGGGUAGCUGGUCUGAGAGGACGAUCAGCCACACUGGGACUGAGACACGGUCCAGACUCCUACGGGAGGCAGCAGUGGGGAAUCUUGCGCAAUGGGCGAAAGCCUGACGCAGCGACGCCGCGUGUGCGAUGAAGGUCUUCGGAUCGUAAAGCACUGUCGCGAGGGAAAAAGCCAGUGAUGGUACCUCGAGAGGAAGCACCGGCUAACUCUGUGCCAGCAGCCCGCGGUAAUACAAAGGGUGCCAGCGUUGUUCGGAAUUAUUGGGCGUAAAGCGCUUGUAGGCGGUCCGCCAAGUCGCAUGUGAAAGCUCCGGGCUCAACCUGGAAAGUGCGCGCGAUACUGGUGGACUUGAGUGCCGGAGAGGGUGGCGGAAUUCCCG